rnacentral:tRNA from 7 species
CGGUAGUUCAGUUGGUUAGAAUACCUGCCUGUCACGCAGGGGGUCGCGGGUUCGAGUCCCGUCCG